GGGCACCGGAAGUGGCCGCCCAGCUUGACUUCCGCUCCCAAAGCACUCGCUCCCGGGGCUCGCGUUCUGGUUGUUAGGAAACCACCAAGGAGUUUGAGAGCAUGGAGGCCGCGCGCCCUCCCUCGACGGCAGGGAGGUUCGUGGUGGUCGGCGGAGGCAUCGCGGGUGUCACCUGUGCUGAGCAGGUAAGCGGGCGCGCAGAGUUCCGCCGCUUCCCCGGCCUGGGGGCGGUGGCGCUCAAGGCAUCCACCUGCCCCUCCUUGGGUCCUUCCUCCGGAUCCCUCGUUAGCCCCCUUCCCCCCCUCCUUGCUCUCAGGUACCGACUGCGCGGUGGCCCUUGUUGGACGAAGUUCCUCCGGCCUCUCCAGCUUCGCCUUAGACGCAGGGAGGAGUGGACGGCCAGUCUCAUAGGGAGAAAUAGAACAUGGUGGUUUUGAAGAAUCAGAGUGUGAUUUAAGAAGAUUCUUUCAAGAAGCUUAAAGUGAGAGAGAGGUUGUAGCCAGAGGAAAAUGAUGAAAAAAAAUGGCAAGUAAGCCUCUAAAUUUUGUUGAAGCUAAUACUAAAAUGGUUCUGUUUUCCCAGCAUGUAUAGGGGUUGGGCAUUUAGAAGGGGCAUAAUAAUGAUGCCAAAGCACUUAGGAAAAGUCAGGCUAAGAUUCUGAAUACUUACUAGUAAGGAUUUGCUGUAAUUUCAUCCCACUGAAGGGAAAUGAAAACAUUAUUUUAAAAGAAAUAGAAGUUGGUUUAACUGGUAAUUAGGAAAAUAUUUUAUUCUCAUUCUCCGCAUGACAACUUUAAAUUGGUGUAUAAGGUAGCUCAAGUAAGUAAGGAAUACUUCUUAAUAUAUUUUUCUUGUUCAGGAGGUCUUUGUUCGUGUUUAGUAUUAAUGUAUGGUUUGUUUUAUCAAUAUCAGAGUUAAACAUAACCCACCACUACCCCCAUAAAUAGGAACAAGACCCAGAAUAAUGGAGACCUUCAUAUGAAGAAAAGUGAACUUAUAGUUUCCUAGCUGGGUUAAUAACAUUAAUAAAAGUGCAUUAUUCCUGUCUCA
rnacentral:lncRNA from 1 species